UGUUUCGGCUAGGGGGCCAUCCCGGCUUACCAACCCGAUGCAAACUGCGAAUACCGGAGAAUGUUAUCACGGGAGACACACGGCGGGUGCUAACGUCCGUCGUGAAGAGGGAAACAACCCAGACCGCCAGCUAAGGUCCCAAAGUCAUGGUUAAGUGGGAAACGAUGUGGGAAGGCCCAGACAGCCAGGAUGUUGGCUUAGAAGCAGCCAUCAUUUAAAGAAAGCGUAAUAGCUCACUGGUCGAGUCGGCCUGCGCGGAAGAUGUAACGGGGCUAAACCAUGCACCGAAGCUGCGGCAGCGACACUUUAGUGUUGUUGGGUAGGGGAGCGUUCUGUAAGCCGUUGAAGGUGUCCUGUGAGGGGUGCUGGAGGUAUCAGAAGUGCGAAUGCUGACAUAAGUAACGAUAAAGCGGGUGAAAAGCCCGCUCGCCGGAAGACCAAGGGUUCCUGUCCAACGUUAAUCGGGGCAGGGUGAGUCGACCCCUAAGGCGAGGCCGAAAGGCGUAGUCGAUGGGAAACGGGUUAAUAUUCCCGUACUUGGUGUUACUGCGAAGGGGGGACGGAGAAGGCUAUGUUGGCCGGGCGACGGUAGUCCCGGUUUA
rnacentral:rRNA from 1 species